CCUACGGGGGGCUGCAGUGAGGAAUAUUGGUCAAUGGGCGGGAGCCUGAACCAGCCAAGUCGCGUGAGGGAAGACGGUCCUAUGGAUUGUAAACCUCUUUAGGCGGGGAGCAAUGCCGGGCACGCGUGCCCGGAGGGAGAGUACCCGCAGAAUAAGCAUCGGCUAACUCCGUGCCAGCAGCCGCGGUAAUACGGGGGAGGCGAGGUUUAUCGGGAUUUAUUGGGUUUAAAGGGUGCGUGGGCGGAUUUUUAAGUCAGCGGUAAAAUGUCCGGGCUCAACCCGGGCCGGCCGUUGAAACUGGGGAGCUUGAGUGGGCGAGAAGUAUGCGGAAUGCGUGGUGUAGCGGUGAAAUGCAUAGAUAUCACGCAGAACUCCGAUUGCGAAGGCAGCAUACCGGCGCCCGACUGACGCUGAGGCACGAAAGCGUGGGGAUCGAACAGGAUUAGAUACCCCUGUAGUC
rnacentral:rRNA from 1 species